GGGAGGGAGGAGCUGUGCUGAGCGCAGACCGGCCCAGCCGCAGGUGUCCGCCGAGCACUGAAGUUAAAGCCUCUUCGUGGAACCUGACGUCUAUUGAGGGUUUGCGUUGUGUUUGGCGUCGCUUUUUUAAUCUUCAUUCCCACCCUCCGGGUGAGAACUCAUAUUAACCACUUUUUAAAAGAGGAAGCUGAGGUGCGGUGAAUAGGGUGCCCCUGUCUCAGCAGGAAAGAUGUUGGGUUUGGUGGCAGGUAGACCGUCUCCGGAGCCUGUGUAGCCGCCAGUGCCCUGAAACCCUGGACGCUGGAGAAGCAGCAGAGCGAGGGUCAGGCUCUGAAAGUACAGAGCAGAACGUGCUGGGUCCUGCAGAGCCCCAGACAUCACGGGCUGGGCUCCAGGUCACCGCCGUCAGUCGAGGCCUGGUCUUUUCACUGGUGCAGGGUCUGGCCUUCAGUUUGUUGAAAUCAAAACACCUGUGAAGCGGGAUGGCCUGAGGUCCACCUGUGUCAGAUACCUGCUUCCCCAGGCGCAUCCACAGAAACAAGAGCUAAGUCCCUGUUGCAUCUCAUCAGCCUCCUAAUGAGAGGAUGUUAUUCCAGGAUCCGAUGUAGUAAAACUCCUCCGCUCUAAGCCACAGGCAGUAACAAAAGUUCCCUCUUCCUUCCAGGUGAUGGGAAACCCAGGAGCUUUCAAAAGGAGCCUUAUGUUCUCAGCCUUGUCCUACUUGGGAUUUGAAACUUACCAGCUCCUUUCUCCAGCUGCUGUGGUUCAUGCUGCAGCCAAAGCCUUUAGAGUUGAAGAAAUCCUCCAACAGGCAGAUUACCUCUAUGAGAGUGGAGAGACGGAGAAACUCUAUCAGUUGCUGGCCCAGUACAAGGAAAGUGAAGAUGCAGAGCUGCUGUGGCGUCUGGCUCGGGCAUCGCGGGAUGUUGCUCAGCUUAGCGGAACCUCAGCAGAGAAGAAAAAGGCCCUGGUGUACGAGGCCCUGAAGUACGCAGAGAGGGCGCUAGAGGAAAACGCAGCCAGCUUUGCGGCUCACAAGUGGUUUGCCAUCUGUAUUAGUGAUGUCGGGGAUUACGAAGGCAUCAAGGCUAAAAUCGCAAAUGCCUAUGUCAUCAAGGAGCACUUUGAGAAAGCAAUUGAAUUGAACCCUAAAGAUGCUACCUCGAUUCACCUAAUGGGUGUUUGGUGUUACACGUUUGCCGAGAUGCCAUGGUAUCAGAGAAGAAUUGCCAAUGUGCUGUUUGCAGCCCCUCCCAGCUCCACCUACGAGGAGGCCUUAGGCUACUUUCAAAGGGCAGAACAAGGUAAAAUAUUUUUAUUUCAGAUACUAAUACGGUUAAAAUUGUGUGAACGCUUUAUAUGUAAUAGGAAUUUUAAAACAAAGAUACUUUAUUCCAACACAGCUUUGCACUGGGCACCGUCAAACAGUCUUUAAGGUUUUGUUCAGUAACGAUCACUUGAGUAAGAAGUAGGCCCGCUGGGCUGGGCUGGGCUGGGCCAGGCCAGGCCGGGCCGCCACUCUGGAUAGUCGCACUGGACAAAAAUUGCAGACAUAUUUUUUCCUUUUUUAAAUAGUGACUUUAUCUUUUUAAUAUAUUGUAUUGAUUUCCUUAAACAUGGUCUUGCUCUCCUGGAGCUAAAGUAAUCCUCAGUCACUGACCCUUCUCUGGGGGUUACCUUGAAGGUCAUGUGCAAGGCAGCCCUCCUUAUGGCCCUCGUCUGGUUUAGGGGUCCCGCCUCUGCCCUUAGCACCUGCAACUUCCUCCUUGGGGCGCUCUCACCACCGUGGGAACGCGUGUCCACGUGUCUGAGGCUAAACGCAGGGGAGGUGGGACUGUUUCGCCUGGUCCUGGGCAGACUUGCUGACUGGGAUGAGUGGAUGAACACACUUCCCUCGAGGAAACCUGAGCAUCACGCGACGUCUUGCAGAUACGGUCCCAGGAAGGAAGUAGAGCAGGUUUGGGUUAGGGAGCAGUGGAGGCGAACUACCCAGACAGAAGUAGGAUUGGCAGGGAGAUAGGCGGAGUCUGUAAGAGUAAACGAGGGUGUGAGAGCAGCCGCACUUUCCUCCGUAGACUUGGCGCUGGCAGUGCCCUCGGCCAGCCGUGCUCUCCACCUGCUCCCCUCCGCGCAGCCCAGGUGUAACCCCCUGGAGUUGGCUGCUGCUCUGGUUUCUCAUCACACUUUAGAACUUGGACACCUGUCGACUCUUUUCCACAUCACAUUUCACUGUGCUCAUGUUUCUCUCUCCUUUUCAGUAUAAAUUCCAAGAGAGCAGAGAUUUUGUUUGAUAUGUGCCUGCAGGCAGCCCCACUCAGCGCACGCAGGUCCAGCGUGUAGCGUGUGGUGUCUCGAUUUCUCUCACUCAGGAGGUGUGUUGAGGGCAUGUGCUGUUCUCAGCCCGUAGGGUGCAGCCGGGGCACAGGUGGUGAGGGGCAGUCCCCUCGCACCCCACCUGCCACAGAUGAGAGGUGCGCAGCAGAGCCUCGCGCCCUGUAGGUGCUCCGUGACCUUGACUGCUACACAUCCUGGAGAGAGGAACAGCUGAACAAGAGUGUCCCCGUUAGCUGUGGAUCCAAACUUCUAUAGCAAAAACUUGCUUCUGUUAGGAAAGACGUACCUGAAGCUACACAACAGAAAGCUCGCUGCCUUCUGGCUGC